AGUUUUGACCUUAUAAACCUGUUACCGUGGAUCUUAGUCGUGCUUCUGGUUUCAACAGACAAGCAUUGAUAAUCCUUCAAACCUGCAGCUUGGAGCCAGUCUCAUUCACUACAGUCUGGGUUCUUUAUGAUGGUGUGGUUUGCCUAGUAGCAAGGAAGAUGACAAGCAGAGAUUCCUAAUUCUUCUUGUUGCGACAUGGUGAAAUCACUCACUGUUGACAUUACCAUUGGUUUCAGGAGUCGGGAAAGGUAAUGUUUAUUCCAUCUCGUCGACGGGAUGAAGGCUAAAUGUGAAAAACACCUCUUCAAAACGGUGGCUUCACCUUUGGAAAACCAUUGCGCUGGACCACAUGAAUUUUGAAGGGCAUGGGAAAUCCUCUGGGCGAGCGUUUCGCACGUGCCGCUACUUUGGUAAGGUUAUGAUUCAUAGUGCAUCUACUGGAAAGGCUGAUUCUUGCAAUCCUGUUUUGGUAAAUUGUUUAUAUGGCCUGGGGUGUUUCAAUCCAGUUUGACCACAUUUGAAGCUACCAGUCAGUUACUUUUUACAGUAAGUAAGGCUCCUGCUUCUCCCAUGGAGACUGAUGAUGGGAUUCCGAAGCAGGAUGUCAAACAAGAAACAGAUAAUGCUUGGAUUUAUGGUCCUCUAGCAUGCUAUGGUAAACUUAUGGACCACUUGGUGACUUCAUCUUUCAUUUUAUCUCCUUUACAAGCACCUUUCACACAGCCUCGAAUAAGUUUGGGAUAGUCGGUUUCCACGGGAUGCUGAGACAUUUGUGAAGAUCCUCCAAUCCAUGGUGCUUAAGGCAGUACUACCUGUUUGGAGUCACCCGCAGUUUACUGAUUGUAGCUAUGACUUUAUUGCAACAGUUGUUUCCAUCGUUCACAUUUGAUUCCUUGUGUUUGAGGUGAAAAACGUUUCUGGCAGUGGAGGGUCACGCACAGCUGGUCCUCCCCCAAAUGAAUCAACUAAUUGCAACCCAAAAAAAUUUUUUGCGGAGAUGGGGUUUUCUAGAUCCAGAGCAGAAGAGGCUUUGAGGCAGGUUGGAUCAAAUAGUGUGGAGCUGGCUAUGGAAUGGCUAUUCUCACAUCCAGAGGAAGCCAUGAAGAUGAUGAACUUGCUCGUGCACUAAUGAUGUCACUUGGGAACUCC
rnacentral:lncRNA from 1 species